UGCAGUCGAGCGGUAGAGAGAAGCUUGCUUCUCUUGAGAGCGGCGGACGGGUGAGUAAUGCCUAGGAAUCUGCCUGGUAGUGGGGGAUAACGUUCGGAAACGGACGCUAAUACCGCAUACGUCCUACGGGAGAAAGCAGGGGACCUUCGGGCCUUGCGCUAUCAGAUGAGCCUAGGUCGGAUUAGCUAGUUGGUGAGGUAAUGGCUCACCAAGGCGACGAUCCGUAACUGGUCUGAGAGGAUGAUCAGUCACACUGGAACUGAGACACGGUCCAGACUCCUACGGGAGGCAGCAGUGGGGAAUAUUGGACAAUGGGCGAAAGCCUGAUCCAGCCAUGCCGCGUGUGUGAAGAAGGUCUUCGGAUUGUAAAGCACUUUAAGUUGGGAGGAAGGGCAGUUGCCUAAUACGUAACUGUUUUGACGUUACCGACAGAAUAAGCACCGGCUAACUCUGUGCCAGCAGCCGCGGUAAUACAGAGGGUGCAAGCGUUAAUCGGAAUUACUGGGCGUAAAGCGCGCGUAGGUGGUUUGUUAAGUUGGAUGUGAAAUCCCCGGGCUCAACCUGGGAACUGCAUUCAAAACUGACUGACUAGAGUAUGGUAGAGGGUGGUGGAAUUUCCUGUGUAGCGGUGAAAUGCGUAGAUAUAGGAAGGAACACCAGUGGCGAAGGCGACCACCUGGACUAAUACUGACACUGAGGUGCGAAAGCGUGGGGAGCAAACAGGAUUAGAUACCCUGGUAGUCCACGCCGUAAACGAUGUCAACUAGCCGUUGGAAGCCUUGAGCUUUUAGUGGCGCAGCUAACGCAUUAAGUUGACCGCCUGGGGAGUACGGCCGCAAGGUUAAAACUCAAAUGAAUUGA
rnacentral:rRNA from 1 species